CAAUAGCGUAUAUUUAAGUUGCUGCAGUUAAAAAGCUCGUAGUUGGAUUUCGGGUGGGAAUGGCCGGUCCGCCGUUUCGGUGUGCACUUGCUACGCCCACCUUGCUGCCGGGGACGUGCUCUUGAGUUCACGCUCGGGACACGGAGUCGGCGAGGUUACUUUGAGUAAAUUAGAGUGUUUCAAGCAGGCGCACGUCUUGAAUACAUUAGCAUGGAAUAAUAAGAUAGGACUUUGGUACUAUUUUGUUGGUUUGCAUACCAAAUUAAUGAUCAACAGGAACAGUUUGAGGAUAUUCGUAUGAACAUGUCAGAGGUGAAAUUCUUGGAUUUUGAUCAGACGAACUACUGCGAAAGCAUUUAUCAAGGAUGUUUUCAUUAA
rnacentral:rRNA from 1 species